rnacentral:snRNA from 1 species
GUGCUCGCUUCGGAAGCACAUAUACUAAAAUUGGAACGAUACAGAGAAGAUGAGCAUGGUGAAUUGGAGGAUGGGUUAAUACAGGAAAAAAUGAAAAUAGAA